GACGAACGCUGGCGGCGUGCCUAAUACAUGCAAGUAGAACGCACAGUUUAUACCGUAGCUUGCUACACCAUAGACUGUGAGUUGCGAACGGGUGAGUAACGCGUAGGUAACCUGCCUGGUAGCGGGGGGUAACUAUUGGAAACGAUAGCUAAUACCUCAUAAUAUUCAUUAUUGCAUGCUAAUUAAUUGAAAGGUGCAAUUUCACCACUACCAGCUGGACCUGCUUUGUAUUAGCUAGUAGGUGAGGUAACGGCUCAACUAGGCGACGAUACAUCGCCGACCUGAGGGGGUGAUCGGCCACACUGGGACUGAGACACGGCCCAGACUCCCACGGGAGGCAGCAGUAGGGAAUCUUCGGCAAUGGGCGAAAGUCUGAACGAGCAACGCCGCGUGAGUGAAGAAGGUUGUCGGAUCGUAAAGCUCUGUUGUAAGAGAAGAAAGGGUGUGAGAGUGGAAAGUUCACACUGUGACGGUAGCUUACCAGAAAGGGACGGCUAACUACGUG
rnacentral:rRNA from 1 species